rnacentral:rRNA from 1 species
AGUUGGAAAGAUAAUAGCUUACAAAGCCGAUGAUCCUUAAUUGGUCUGAGAGGACGUACAAUCACACUAGAACUGAGACAAGGUCUAGACAUCUAAGGAUGGCAGCAGUGGGGAAUCUUGAACAAUGAGCGAAAGCUUGAUUCAGCGAUAUAGAGUGAAUGAUGAAAGCCAUUAGGUUGUAAAGUUCUUUUACCAAGAAAGAUUCUGACUUUACUUGGAGAAAAAGCCCUGGCAAAUUUCGUGCCAGCAGCCGCGGUGAUACGAAAAGGGCUAGUGUUAUUCGGAAUAAUUGGGUGUAAAGGGUGAGUAGGCUGUAAUCAUAGUUAAUUCUUAAAUCUUAGUAGUAAUUACUAAAUCAAUUAUUAAAAACAAAUUACUAGAGUAAAAGAGAGGAUUGUAGAAUUUCAAGUGGAGAAAUAAAAUUCGUAGAUUUUUGAAGGAAUAUCGAAAGCGAAGGCAACAAUCUGGCUUUAUACUGACGCUGAUUCACGAAAGCUUAGGUAGCAACCAGGAUUAGAGACCCUGUUAGUCUAAGCUGUAAACUAUGGAUACUCAUUUUUGGACAAUAAAUGUUCGGAAGUUUAGCUAACGCGUUAAGUAUCCCACCUGAGAAGUACAGUGGCAACGCUGAAACUCAAAGGAAUUGACGGGGAUUUAUACAAUUCGUGGAACAUGUAGUUUAAUUCGUAAAUACACGCAAAACCUUACCAACCUUUGUAUAAUUUUAUGUUCUAAUGAAGAAAUUUGUUAUGUUAAAAAUUACAGGUGCUGCAUGGCUGUCGUCAGCUCGUGUCGUGAGAUGUUGGGUUAAGUCCCGCAACGAGCGUAACCCUUGUCUUUAGUUGCCAUCAUUUAGUUGGGCACUUUAAAGAGACUGCCGGUGAUAAACCGGAGGAAGGUGAGGACGACGUCAAGUCAGCAUGCCCCUUACGCCCUGGGCUACACACGUACUACAAUGGCCGAGACAAAGAGUCGCAAGUUUGCAAGAACAAGCUAAUCUCAUAAACU